GUUUCCACUUUUGCAUCUU
rnacentral:snRNA from 1 species